AGUCGCCAAAUCUCGAUACCUGCUUAUCCUGGUUGGCCAGGUCUUUUUGUACCUUUGUUCUCAUGUAGAAUAUUGGGCAGUCACGACUGAAAGCGAGCAUAUAGUACACGGUGUGAGCUGAGGUGCGGAAGUUGCUCCAGCAUACUCCUCUCCUGCCUCUGCCUUGUGGGCAGGGAUCACAAGAUCUGUCUGGUGAGUCUACAAAAGAUAUCCCAACAAAAUAGAGGCUUUAGACUGGAAGGUGGUUGACGUAACAGUGCUCUUGUCAGCCACGAUGCGUCCAAGGAGGGAGAAGUUAUUAACAUGCAAAGCUGUAGCCCGGUUUAAUAAGUACGGCAAGUCAAAGUUGACAAUGUUGUAGCCAGUUAUAAUAUCAGGGUCACAUUCUUGGACAAACUCACUCCAUGCCUGAAAUACGAAGAAUAAGCUUCAGGGGAAAGCUUUAGGAACAUACAAUACUGUACAAAAGAGAGAUGAAAGAGAAAUAAAUUAGACAGUCACCAGCA